rnacentral:rRNA from 1 species
GACGAACCGUGCGAACGUUGUUCGGAAUCAUUGGGCUUAAAGGGCGCGUAGGCGGGCUGCCAAGUUCGGGGUGAAAUCCUCCCGCUCAACGGGAGAACGGCCCUGAAUACUGGCGGUCUCGAGGGAGGUAGGGGCGUGCGGAACUAUGGGUGGAGCGGUGAAAUGCGUUGAUAUCCAUAGGAACUCCGGUGGCGAAGGCGGCACGCUGGACCUCUUCUGACGCUGAGGCGCGAAAGCCAGGGGAGCGAACGGG